GACGGAGGGUGCUAGCGUUGUUCGGAAUCACUGGGCGUAAAGGGCGCGUAGGCGGCCUUGCAAGUCGGUUGGUGAAAGCCCGGGGCUCAACCCCGGAGGUGCGGCCGAGACUGCAGGGCUGGAGGCCGGAAGAGGAGGGUGGAAUACCCAGUGUAGAGGUGAAAUUCGUAGAUAUUGGGUGGAACACCGGUGGCGAAGGCGGCCUGCUGGGCAGUUGCUGACACUGAGGCGCGACAGCGUGGGGAGCAAACAGG
rnacentral:rRNA from 1 species